rnacentral:lncRNA from 10 species
UAGAAGAUUAGGGUGGGGUGGCCAGCUUCUUUGCGCGCUUUGUAAACAUCACACCUAGUCCACCAAUCUUUGGGCCCUAUGUAAAUUAGACAACACCUCCUCAAGCCAGUCUAUAAACCCUCCCCUCCCCGCACAUGCAUUUCACCGCAAAACCCAAAGACCCACUUAGGUGUCCCCUCUCUCCGCAGAAGAGAGAGCUUUUCCCUUUCUCUCUGUUAAACCUCUUCUCUUAAACUCACUUCUUGCGUGUCCUCGUCCUCGAUUUCCUUGGCGUAAGACGACGAACCUCAGGCAUUUACCCCAGACAACGAAGGUGCUUCAUAAGGUCAUGCAGCUGAUCAGUUGCUCUGGGGGAAGCCAGCUGUCAUGUGACAAACAGCUCUCCACAGAGGAUUAUGGGGCAUGUAACUGAGGCCUCCAGCCAGCGGCCACGUCAGUGAGUUUGGAAAUAGGUCCUCUAGCCCAGUUGAGCCUUCAGAAGACGACAUGAGGAUUUGCUGCAGUUCUGCCCAACAUCUUGAUUUCAAGCUCAUGAGACAGCCUAAGCCCAAACCACCCAGCUAAGCCAUUCCUAGAUUCCUGACCCAAAGAAACUAUGUGAGAUUAUGUGUCUGGUAUUUUAAGCACUAAGUUCUGGGAUAAUUUGUUUUGAAGCAAUAGUUAAGAAAUACAAUGAGAUAACACUAAACGCAAUGAGAGAGCACUAAACACUAUACUUGGUGUAGAUAAGGUCAUGGAGCCACAGGAAUGCUCAUUUUGUGCUAGUGGAAAAGGAAAUUGGAAAAACCAUUUUGCAAUGUAUAACCAGGUGGCAAUAUCUACAGUUUUAAAGCUAUGCCUAUUAUAUGAUCUCACAGUUCCACUUCUAGGUAUAUAGUGCAUGAUCCUGUGCACAGGAGACAUGCACAUGAAUAUUCAUAGCAGGAAUGUUUGUAGUAGCCUCAAAUUGGAAACCAUCCACAUAUCCAUCAGUAAUGGAAUGGAUAAAUAAGUUUUGGUAGCAGUUGAGCCUUGAACAACACGAGUUUAAACUAUGUGGGUCCACUUAAUAUGCACAUUUUCUGGGUCCACUUAUAUGCAGAUUUUCUUCUACCUCUGCUACCCCUGAGAUGGUAAGACCAUCUUCCUUGAUCCACUUCCACAGUAAAUACAUUUUCUCUUUCUUAUGAUUUUCUUAAUAUCAUUUUCUUUUCCCUAAGCUUACUUGAUUGUAAGUGUACAGUAUGUGAUAAAAAUAACAUGCAAAAUAUGUGUUAAUCAACUGUUAAUGAUCAGUUAAUACUUCUGGUGAACAGUAGGCUGUAAGUAGUUAAGUUUUGGGGAAGUCAAAAGCAUAUGCAGAUAUUUGACUGUGUGGGGUGUUGGUAUCCCUAACCUCGUGCAUUGUUCAAGGGUCAAUUGUAUUUGUACAAUAAAAUGUUAUACAGCAAGGGUUGGAAGAUUUGUUCUGUUAAGGGCCAGAGAGUCAAUAUUUUAGGCUUUAAGGGCUGUACAGUCUCUGUCAUACCUAGUCAACUCUGCUGUUGUAGUAUGUAAGCAGCCACAGAGAAUAGGGAAAUGAAUAAGCAUGGCUAUAUUUCAAUUAUACUUUAUUUACAAAACAGAUGGGGAACUGGAUUUGGCACAGGGGCCACAGUUUUCUGACCAUUACUCUAUAAUAUUGAGAGUAAAAGGGGCCAGGUGCAGUGGCUCACAUCUGUGAUCCCAGCACUUUGGGAGGCUGAGGCAGGAGGAUUGCUUGAGGCCAGUAGAUCAAGACCAGUCUGGGCAACAUGGCGAGACCCCAUGAUAUGGUUUGGAUGUGUGUCCCUCCUCAAAUCUCAUGUCAAAUUGUAAUUCCCAGUGUUGGAGGAGAGGCCUGGUGGGAGGUGAUUGGAUCAUGGGGACAGGCUUUCCCCUUGCUGUUCUUGUGAUAGUGAGUUCUCAUGAGAUCUGGUUGUUUAAAAGUGUGUGGCACCUCCCCCUUCUCUCUCUUCUUCCUGCUCUGGCCACAUAAGACAAGCCUACUUCCACUUCACCUUCUGUCAUGAUUGUAAGUUUCCUGAGGCUUCCCCCACCAUGCUUCCUGUAGAGCCUACAGAACCAUGAGCCAAUAAACCUCUUUUCUUUAUAAAUUACCCAGUCUCAGGUAUUUCUUCAUAGCAGUGUGAGAAUGGACUAAUAUACCCCAUCUCUACAAAAAAAUUUAAAAAAUUAGCCAGGUGUGGUGGUGUGUGCUUGUGGUCCCAGCUACUUGGGAGGCUGAGAUGGGAGGAUCUUUUUAGCCCAGGAUGUGGAGGCUGCAGUGAGCCAUGCUCAGGAUUUUAGUCUGUUCUCACGCUGCUAAUAAAGACAUACCUGAGACUGGGUAAUUUAUAAAGGAAAGAGGUUUGAUGGACUCACAGUUCCACGUGGCUGAGGAGGCCUCACAAUUAUGGUAGAAGGUGAAGGAGGAGCAAAAUCAUGUCUUACAGGGCGGCAGGCAAGAGAGCAUGUGCCAGGAAACUGCCCUUUAUAAAACCAUCAGAUCUCACGAGACUUAUGCACUAUCAUGAGAACAGCACGAGAAAGAUCUGCCUCCAUGAUUCAAUUACCUCCCACAGCGUCCCUCCCAUGACACACGGGAAUUAUGAGAGUUACAAUUCAAGAUGAGAUUUGGGUGGGGACACAGCCAAACCAUAUCACUCAGGUUGGGUGACAGAGCAAGGCCCUGUCUCAAAAAAAUAAACAAGUAAAAUAAUAAAAAAAGAGAGAAUGAAAGAGCCCAGGUACAAACAAGAACAUAGAUAAGUCUUUGAAAAGUAUUGAAUGAAAGAAAUCGGACAUAAAAUAUGUACUCCUAUUUAUAAAAAGUUCAAAAGCAUGAAAAAUGAGACGAUAUUGUUGAGGGAGCAUCUUGAGGAGGUGAAACUAGAAGGCAAAACAAGGAAUUGAGUCUUUAAAAUGCCAGGAUUGUUGUUACUUUGGAGGGUAGAUAGGGGUGUGUAAUUGAGAAGGGGUACCUAAGGGACUCAUGGGGUGCUGGCAAUAACCUUAUUUAUUAAUCUGUUGGGGGUUUCACAGGUGUUUAUACAAUCUGGUAAGUUGUAUAUUUGUGUUUUGUGUUCUUUUCUGUAUUUGCAUUCUAUUUCUCAAUAAAUUGUUGAAGAAAAAUGAAUAUUAAGA